rnacentral:misc_RNA from 1 species
CUCCACCGACCUCGUAGCACCUUCUCGAAAGCACCCUCUCCUCUCUGUCUAUGGCGUCUCUUUAAUCUGCUUUAUAAUAUAGAACACAAGAAACCAGACCCCCAAAGCCGAGCAGUUCAACAUCAAUUGCGUUCCAUCUGUGGAACUAUAUCUGUUUCGUUGCUUCUUUCAGGCAUUUUCACAAAUGGAAGAAGAUGGUGCUGUGACUGUCUACAAUAGCAGCGUCAUUACCGAUGCCAAGAAGAACCCAUAUUCCAUCAAGGUAGGUUUAGCUCAGAUGCUUAGCGGCGGGGCAAUUGUCGAAGUCACUAAUCUACAAGCAGCCAAGAUAGCAGAAGACGCUGGUGCUUGUGCUAUUGUGGUAGCGGAACCAACGCGUCGAGGAAUUAGGCGAAUGCCUGACCCAUCUCUUAUCAAGGAGAUAAAACGUGCAGUUUCCAUCCCUGUAAUGGCUCCAGCGCGUGUUGGCCAUUUUGUUGAGGCUCAGAUAUUGGAAGCUGUUGGGGUUGAUUAUAUCGAUGAGAGUGAGAUUCUUGCUAUAGCGGAUGAAGACAACUUCAUUAACAAGCAUAACUUCAGGUGUCCAUUCAUUUGCGGGUGUCAAAAUCUGGGGGAAGCGUUGAGGAGAGUGAGGGAAGGUGGAGCGAUGAUAAGGAUUCAAGGGGAGGUAUUAGGCCAUGGAAACAUUGCUGAGACAGUGAGGAAUGUGAGAAAUGUGAUGAAAGAGAUAAGGGUUUUGAACAACAUGGAUGAAGAUGAGGUGUUUGCAUUUGCUAAAAAUAUAGCUGCACCUUAUGAUCUUGUGGCACAGACUAAGCAAAUGGGAAGGCUGCCUGUGGUGCAGUUUGCUGCUGGAGGGAUUGUGACCCCUGCAGAUGCAGCACUAAUGAUGCAAUUGGGUUGUGAUGGAAUUUUUGUGGGGAAUGAAGUUUUUGAUUGUGCUGAUCCAUAUAAGCGAGUGAGGGCCAUAGUGCAGGCUGUUAGGCAUUAUAAUGAUCCUCAUGUGCUGGUCGAGAGUAGUUGCGAAUUGGACGAAGCAAUGGCAGAACUUAAUCUCAGUGAAAACAGGAUCCAACAUUUUGGUGGGAACUAGGGAAGUAAUUCUAAUUUCUAAAUACAAGUAAUGUAUCUUUCUUAUAUGCAGUUGUGGAUUAUAGAGUUUUGGUCUUUCUUGUUGCUGUGUUAAUUUUACUACUAAUAUGCAAGUAUGUUCUAUGUUGCAUUUUAUUGUCUGGAAAAACAGAUAAGAAUAGAAUAAAUUAUUUUUUCAAAUUAAUGUUGAACCUUGUGUUUUAAUAGGUAUGGGAGAUUGCAUCCACAAAGGAUCCUAAUGAUACAUUUACAUGAUAUUUUGUAGCAUGCUUGUCACACAGAAUGAAAGGCUCUGUGGCAGGGCUAACUAGUUAUUGACUGAUUGCCAUGAGAUUUGUUUUUUGAUGUCCCUGAACAGACUCGUUCAGUGGAGUGAAAUUGAUGAUGGAAAAAAAUUUACUUGAUGUGAUUGCUUCAAUGUUCGUUGAUUGCAUUUCAAGUGGCGUCUAUUUCAGCAAUUCCAUAAGGAUAAAAAAUGUUCUGAGUUUGUACUUGUUGCCUGUUAUGUUCCCAAUAAUGAAAUACUCUAGCAAUUUCAAUAACAUCUCAUUUUAGUGGACAAGAAUUCCUGAAAAGUUUCAUCCCCUAGAAAACUACUUUGUUUUGUUUUGUGCAAACACAAAAAGAGAUAUAUGUUUCUUAUCUUUAAAUGAAAAUAACUUUCUAUGUCUGUCCUCCUGAACUUCUGAAAUUCAUCAAAGAAUAGCUUCUUGUCUCCUUCCUUUUCUUCUACCCUAAAUCUAUCCGAUAGAGUACAUCUUUUUACAUUUUGAUUUGUCAUAGAUUGAAUCCACCUUGGACCUCAUCUAAUGUUUGUUAAGUCCAUCAAGCAACACCUAUUUGAUUCUUAUAUCCAUUCUUUUCCCCGAGAUUACAUAUUCUUGAUCUCAGUGACUCAAAACCAACAAAGUUGAACAUACCAAACUUUUUUCUUUCCUAUCUUCUCCACUUGCCUUUCUUGUGCUUCUUGUAGUUCACAGAACUACAUCUGUAACACCCCUCACCCGUCUACA